UACGUAGGGUGCGAGCGUUGUCCGGAAUUAUUGGGCGUAAAGAGCUCGUAGGUGGUUUGUCGCGUUGUUCGUGAAAAACUCACAGCUCAACUGUGGGCGUGCGGGCGAUACGGGCAGACUAGAGGUAUGCAGGGGAGAACGGAAUUCCUGGUGUAGCGGUGAAAUGCGCAGAUAUCAGGAGGAACACCGGUGGCGAAGGCGGCAUCCUGGCAACAUACUGACGUUGAGGCGCGAGAGCGUGGGGAGCAAACGGG
rnacentral:rRNA from 1 species